GAUGGUGCUAGCAUAUAUAAGACUGAAACACCAAAGGCCUCCGUGGAAGUUAAUGAACUUCUGGUUAUGAGUUGGAUUCUUCAGCGGAGUAUUUGAGCCAUGCAUACUUCAAGUUGCUGCAUCCAGUUUUAAACUCCAGAUUGGGCUUUACAUAUUAAACAUGCACAUUUGUUUUCACAUUUUUGAGCUUUGCCAGUGGCACCCUCUCUAAUUAAUCAUCCCACGGGCUUAGAAAACUUCUGCCCAAUCCUUUCUGAUUUGUUAAAAGAAAGAGAGGAGGUUUUAGUCUGAAAAAGGCCUUAUCUGAUAAACAUCACGUUAUAUGGAUUUUUACAUUUAAGUACAUUUUCUUUUUAAAUCCAAUGGCUUUCCCAAACUAGAAAGAUGGAGUGUUUGCAUACAUCCACCAACCACCAAUAUCAGCAGAAAGAAAGCUUGAUACAGUAAAGGAAAGAAAUGGCAAUUUAACAGUUCUUUUAUUUUCCAUUCAGAUCACAUACACAUUAACCAAAUGAAGCCUCACAGCAUGGAAUCUGAUAUCAUAGCAAUGUUUUCAGGAAGCAAUAAUUGAAUACUCCUCAUUAAAAAGGUUCAUAAAAGAAUCCUAUUAAAACCAAUAUGAAUAAUAAACCUUGAAAAUGCUGCUUUAAAUUCCAAGAGGAUGGUGAAGACCUGCAUCAGUAACAGUCUUCCUGUUCAUAGAGUGAUUUUGAAAAUCUCGUGGGCUGAAUUUUUCCAAGCCAAGCAGGCAUCUCACUAUGCAGUGAAAGACCCAGGGGCUAUUUUAAAUGCAUUCAAUCCAAGCCUGUGCCUUUCACAGUCAGUUUUCUCCGAGAAUUUGUCCCUAAUCCUGACAGGAUACCCAACUGAAAGGCUAAUUCUUUUUAAUCACUUAAUUAAUAGAUAAUUCUUACAAGGAGCCCAACACCUGAACCCACCAAGUCCUCUUUGCAUGGGCAAAUCCAGCUGGUUUGAUGCACUAAUUUCACUAAAUGAAAAUUUGGACAAAUUGUAUGUUAUUGCAAAUAAUGGUAAAUGUAUCCAAUUUAAAAAUAGUAACAAAAAAGUUGUUUUUUUGUUCCCUUUUUAAUCACAGAGGCAGCUGUGGUAGGCCCCAAAUGCACAGGGCAUAUGGCUCACCUCACCACCCCAGAUGGUGCUACUGGCCCAGCCUUCCCAGCGUCCACCCUGGCAGUCUUUCCUCAUUCCCUUGGCCUUCACCCCGUCUCCUCAGCCUUCCAGCUGCACUGCUAUUGUAGGCUGCUCUUUCUCAACAAUCUCCUCUUAUUUUCUGUGAUGUCUCAGGAUGUUUCUUCUUCUCAGGGGUUUUCCAAGCUUCUUCCACACUCAGAUGCUCAGACCUUUUUAUGGUCUGGCUUCUGAAGGAGAUCAAAAUUCAUAUGGACAGGCAUUUGUGUAUUAGCCAAGAGUUGCUAAUGCUUUUCUUGAUUAUAAGUCUCAGAGAAAUGGGAUGAAAGAUCUUAGAUUUUUAUACACUCUGGUUCAAUGGCUUCUCAGCUUUUCUGAUCCGAAAAGAAUUAAAGGACACCUUUUAGCUAAGCACUUUCUGUUUUAUUUCUUAUAAUGCCAUAUAGUGGCUGUUAUUGCGAACACAGUAGUCAUUUAAUAAACCCUGAAUGUCUGUAGCA
rnacentral:lncRNA from 1 species